ensembl:lncRNA
UGGAGAUUAAAAAAUAUUUUGCAUAGGAAUGUGGCAGAUUGGAACCCCUUUGAAAAGUUAGCAUUUUCCAAACCUUAGUCUUUCCUUAGUACUUCAAAAAGGCAGUGCUCGAGAACUUUUAGAAGACCAGUAUUAAAUGAAUCUACAGAGGCUGUUAUUUGGCAGGUCCAAACUGAGAAUGUUUUACCCAUGAGUAAAAUUGUGGUAGGAGAAGACUGUUAUGUGGACCACAGAAUAAGAAACCCCCUUGGACAAUAGCUCUGAUAGUCAAAUUCAGAACUGUAGCUGGUGAACACAGAUAUAUCAAUAUAUACCAUCCAUGGUGGCCAGUCCUGAUAUGUAAACAAGCUCAUUCUGGUCAAGUGAAAACCACUUAAACAGCUGGAUUGGAUUUUUCCAGUUGUUGCCUUGUCUGGCCAAGAAAGGAAGAGGAUGAUCAAGUUCUGGGGAAACCUCCGAUGUCCUCAGAAGUAUCUCAAUAGCCUCUUGGACCUGCUUCCACAAUCAGCCUGCAGCUUUGUUUUUUCAUUUUCUGUAAGGUUGGUUAGGCACAAUUGGCUGGGGAAAUACACAAGCAGAGUUUACACUGCCGCAUAAGUAGAGUCUGACAGCAGAGUUUACACUGCCGCAUAAGUAGAGUCUGACAUCUAUAAUAACCUUAGAUCUCCCAUGAUAUAGAAGAGAAAAAUAGCUUUUUGGAUUCACUGCUAAAACUGGGAUCAUAGAAUAUUAACAAUCUAUGUUUUAAACCAUUUGCAGGUGAAAAUAUUCUGUGAAUGCUGAUUAAUUUGGAUCUGUGGCACUUGACCUUGAAAUUCUGCCUUUUUCUCCUUGCUAAAGAGGGCCACAGACCAGAAUCUUUCAGUAUCAGGGAGGUUUGUCAACUCAAGGAAGUUACAGGACACCCCUUAAAAAUUUAGAUUGAAUAUAGGAAUUUUAAGAGGACCUUAUAAGCACUUAUAAACUGUUUUUCAAUUUGAAAUAAAGAUAAAUUCAGCCUCACCCCAGGCCUACAAAGUAGAGUAAGUAUUAUUAAUGCUAGGACUCAAUAGUUCCUGAACUUCCCAGUGCUUCAGUCUCAAGACAAACAGAUCUCUGAGAUCAAUAUAAAUUAUCCCCUGUCCCUUACAGAGGACUAACACAAAUAGUCCUUCUAAGUUAUAUUUACACUAGGAAGGCUUUGGACAUCCUCAUGGCCUCUUUUAAUUGUCCACACCAGCAGCUCAUGCUCAGCCAAUCCCUUGUUUUAUUCCAGUUAAGUCAUUUUUAAUUCUUUCUGAAAUCCGUUGUGAAAAUGGAAGCAUUAAGUCUAUAUCCCCAAAAUGUAGACACUUUGUAAAUAUAAUUUUCUCUAUCACCAAAGAGCACAAAAUAUUCAUCCUAGUAUUGACAUAUCUUCCUGAGAACUGGAAGCAAAACUCCAAACAGCUGAGAUCAUGAUGACAUCCUAAUCCCAGGCUGAAUUUACUGUCACUUGUAAGAACGAAAUAGUUGCUAUUCUCCUAUUUUCUGUGAAAAUGCUCUCUUCCAGAAGAGAGAGGGGUGGUGACUGAAAAAUCAGGUUCUGAAUAUUUGGAAUAUUUAUCCAAUAAUCAAAAUUAUUUCUCAUAGGAAAAAAUUCACCAACAAUUAUGUAGAAAAAAUAAGACACUCAAUAAAUCUCCCAACAUUUAUAAAUAUUUCUAACCCAAAAGGGGUGUAAUAUUGGAGGAAAGGGGUGGAUAAAGGCACAGGAACUUUAAAAAAAUACAGAUAACAAAAUAAAAUUUUAAUAACAUGCUGGCUAAUUUUGAGAACUGUCUUAGAUAUAUUAUUAAGCAGCAGCAUUUUUAUACAAUACAGAAUAAUAGUGCUAUCUUUGGAAAUAUCCUACAUUCAGAAAAAUGGUACAUUUGUAUCAGAAGAAUGGAAGUGAUUACAUAUUUACAAAGUCUGAUAAAGCAAGUGCAAACCUUGACUUGACUACUUUCUUUCUAUCCACAUGCAAUAGACCCCUCCCAUUCCUGCUCUUCAGGUCCUAUAGUCCUGUCCAUUCUGAGAAGUUAUACUGCUUCUUUCCGUACUGAAAAUAUUUCAUGAACAAUUACUCUCUUGGCAAACUUUCUUCCUAUCAUUUGUAUCUGACACUACUUUCCUGAUAACUGUCAGCUCCUAUUCCACUUUUUUUCCUCUGCCUGAUGGUUUUGUUUCCUGUAGUUAAGUAUUUGGUACAAUUGUUUAUGGAAGCCCACCCUGCAAUCUGUGGCUAAGUUUAUGUUGGAGAAAAGAAGACAUAACUUUUUUAAAAAGAGAAAAAGAAAGAUAGACAAGAAUCUUUGGUUAGUCCAAAGUUCUGUUUUGUGAACAUGGUACAAGAUUGAUGGAAAAUGCAUUAGUUUUGUUCGCCCUGUGGACAAUGAAGUUGAGAGACUUUGCUACAAUGACAGGAAGGCACUUUGGUAAAACAUUUAGAUAACUGAGGAAAGAGAGAAUUCCCUCCUGUGCAAAUGUGGCUAUUGUCCAGAUAAAGUGAGAUGAGAUUACUCACCAAAUGCUAUUAACUAUUCCAAGAUGAACCUCUUAUUUCUACAGAGAGAUUUCUUUGGGUAUUAAUGUUAUCGUGAGAAACACUGAGUGGCAAAAACAUGAAUAAUUUAAUAUAACUGGAAGCACUUUAACAUUGAUAUUUUUCUUAAUGCUUUUAUUUGGUUUAAAAGAAAAAGGAAACUAUGUAUUCAUCUUGGGAUCCCCACUGUUGCUGGGAGAAAAAUAUAAAUAUUUAUUGUAUGGUUACAUAUAAGCAAAACUUUACAUUAGGUUAAGGCUGACUCUAAAGAAUGGUGUGAAUUGACCCCUCUGGUAAGAGAUCUGAAUAGAGAUGUCAUUCAUUUCUAAUAUGUGAAAGGGGAAUAAAUCUCAUCAAGAGCUGUUCUCAGAAACUCAAGAGAUUAACUUUGGAUUGUGCAAAUGGAAAUAUCAUGCAAUGGUGAAGUUGAGUCUCUAUGAUUCUCUAUCACCAUUAAGCUCUCCUUGGGUCUCUACCAUGGCAAACUAGAAGUCAACUGCCAGAUCAACUUUGAAGAGUAUAUCAGAGUUCAUAUAUUCAAGAAUCUCAGUUGGAAGCACCAUUGGAAGCCACCUCAUGCCAGAUGGUUGAUUUCCCUCUGAUAAUUUGGUUUAGCAUCAUGACAGUGUUGAUCUUACCUCUGAAAAGAGCUGAUUGACUGUGUCAGCAUUACAAG